AGCUCCAUUAGCGUAUAUUAAAGUUGUUGCAGUUAAAAAGCUCGUAGUUGGAUUUCGGUUCGGGUCGGGGCGGUGGCGUCGCGAGACGUCUACCUCCCGGCCAGUCUCUCUUCCCGAAGACUGCGUGUGCUCUUCAGUGGGUGCGCGUCGGGACUCGGGACGUUUACUUUGAAAAAAUUAGAGUGUUCAAAGCAGGCGUUUUUCGCCCGCAUACCCCAGCAUGGAAUAAUGGAAUAGGAGGCUGGUUCUAUUUCGUUGGUUUUCGGAAUCUAGCCUAAUGGUUAAGAGGGACGGACGGGGGCAUUCGUAUUGUGGCGUUAGAGGUGAAAUUCUUAGAUCGCCGCAAGACGAACAAGUGCGAAAGCAUUUGCCAAGAAUGUUUUCAUUAAUCAAGAACGAA
rnacentral:rRNA from 1 species